rnacentral:rRNA from 1 species
GUUUCAGCCGCCGCGGUAAUACGUAGGGUGCGAGCGUUAUCCGGAAUUAUUGGGCGUAAAGAGCUCGUAGGCGGUUUGUCGCGUCUGUCGUGAAAGUCCGGGGCUUAACCCCGGAUCUGCGGUGGGUACGGGCAGACUAGAGUGCAGUAGGGGAGACUGGAAUUCCUGGUGUAGCGGUGGAAUGCGCAGAUAUCAGGAGGAACACCGAUGGCGAAGGCAGGUCUCUGGGCUGUAACUGACGCUGAGGAGCGAAAGCAUGGGGAGCGAACAGGAUUAGAUACCCUGGUAGUCCAUGCCGUAAACGUUGGGCACUAGGUGUGGGGACCAUUCCACGGUUUCCGCGCCGCAGCUAACGCAUUAAGUGCCCCGCCUGGGGAGUACGGCCGCAAGGCUAAAACUCAAAGGAAUUGACGGGGGCCCGCACAAGCGGCGGAGCAUGCGGAUUAAUUCGAUGCAACGCGAAGAACCUUACCAAGGCUUGACAUGUUCUCGAUCGCCGUAGAGAUACGGUUUCCCCUUUGGGGUGGGUUCACAGGUGGUGCAUGGUUGUCGUCAGCUCGUGUCGUGAGAUGUUGGGUUAAGUCCCGCAACGAGCGCAACCCUCGUUCCAUGUUGCCAGCACGUCGUGGUGGGGACUCAUGGGAGACUGCCGGGGUCAACUCGGAGGAAAGUGAGGACGACGUCAAAUCAUCAUGCCCCUUAUGUCUUGGGCUUCACGCAUGCUACAAUGGCCGGUACAAUGGGUUGCGAUACUGUGAGGUGGAGCUAAUCCCAAAAAGCCGGUCUCAGUUCGGAUUGGGGUCUGCAACUCGACCCCAUGAAGUCGGAGUCGCUAGUAAUCGCAGAUCAGCAACGCUGCGGUGAAUACGUUCCCGGGCCUUGUACACACCGCCCGUCAAAC